rnacentral:lncRNA from 1 species
GACUUUACAUAUCUCACACCUCGCUCGUACCCCUGAAAGGAAAACAAAUGGAGUGGAAUGAGCUAAAAGCCCAGUGAGGUUCCAAAUAGCAAAUUGACCAUUAUUUAUAAGUACAAGUUUUCGAUAUAGCAAAGUAACGAGCAUGAAGAGUUCAUAAAUGUGAGCAAUAACACGUCAAGUAGCAAUCUUAAAAUGAGCGAGUGUAGAAGUUUUUCAAAAGAAACAAUAACCCAAUAAACAAUAAUCACUCCAAAGUAUAAGGAUACGGAUGGCUCUCAGGAGCCAAAUUCCCAUUGCAUUACCAAAAGCUUGAUCAUGUAGUAGUUGACACUCCGUCAACUUUCAAGUAAGUAACCAAUCCAGUAGAACACCACUUACACGACUCUCCGUCCACCGUUCAACCCCCAGCUGGGCCCAAAAUCCUCAAUAAACACGGGUGGUAAUACUCGAGUAUACCGAUUAGUCGAGGAGAUAUCACUCCACUCGACAAUACAAGAGACCCAGGGUUCGUUACCCAAUCGACCAAGCCCUUGCCGGCUCGACUAGAGUAACUCGCCACAGGGUUUCUGGAAUUCCAGGAAGUGCGCGCAUCAUAAACAAGUAUAUCAAGUCAAUUGCAACAAUAAACAAGUAUAUCACGUAAGGGCAAGUGCGAUAAAGUACACUCUUGCCCUUACAAUUCACGUAUAUAACAUGUACUCAUAUUGGUCACGUAUCAAGUUCAAGUAUCUAGUGCAAUUCGGUAUUUGAAAGCACUCACCAAAAGAUAUAGUGCCUUUACUGGUCACUUUCAGGUUAUACUCCGGGUUCGGAGUCCAAAUCUGCGAUAAAACUCAGUUUCAGAACUUUGAAACAUGAUUAAGAUUCGAAACUUAGACGUUUCGUUCAAUAAAAUCAAGAAAUUGAAAUUCGCUCGGAUAGUAGUCGUGAAACACUUGCUCGCUUUUUAAACGGUAAAACUUUGUAACAUUUAUACUUGAAAAUGCCAUGCGAGUCGAAAGUACAAGAGAAACAUAUUCCAAAUAGUCAUUAUUUCAUUUCUCAAGGGUACAAGCUCGGCCAAGUCCUUCCUUAUAUACCUCGGAAUAAGAAUACUCAAGUACCCUAGAUGGUUCAAGCAGUAAUCACUCUUAACCCUUACUCAAGUUGCAAGUAGUUCUCUAGUUUUCGAGCGUAAAUUUGGGCAGCAUGCCCUUUGUGUUUACCUAAUUUUCCAGCCAUUUAGGCUUCAUUAUUUUUCUCAACCACAACCCAACCUCACAUAUGUCAACAAUUCAAGCCAAGAGCCGUUCCAUAGGCUCACAAUAUCAUAAAACAAGAUUCACAACAAUUACAAGUGCAGAAAUUCAACUUAGCACAAGACAGAUUUGACGUAUGAAUGCGGAAAUAACAUAUCCAAGGUUAUGCUUAUCGAAUUGAGGCGUAACCUAUGCCGUUUCGAAGCUAAAACACAGAGCUACAAUGUUCAUGAAGGUCACUUAGUCCAGUUUCUAAUGUAACUUGGUCAAAUUCUCAAAUUACUAAACCAUAAAUCAAUUCGUCCGCUGUUUAAACGCAUUACACUGUAAUGGACAUAACUCAGUGUACAAGAGUCUAAUUCAGGUGUUCUUAGAGUCAUUUUAAAGCUACUUCAGAACACUACAACUUUCAUGUUUUGGCCUAGAGCUAAAUCAGAAUGGAUCCUGGUCAAAAAAACGUGAUAAACUGGACUUACUGAUGAAACGGACUGCUGAGGAAAUAUUUAAAACAGUAAGGGUAUUUUGGACUUUUCAUGACCUACGUUGCUCCGAUUGAGCUGAAAUUUUAUAGGCACCUACAAAAUUCCAUUCUCUACAACUUUUCUUCUUUGACUUAAGGCCAAAUAUGCCUCUAACACACAGAUACAAAUUCGGACAGAAAGGGAGCAAGAAUUUCCAGAAAUCUGGAAUUUUUUGUUUCUAGUGGAACUUUCCUUAAUUUCUUGGUCCAAUCACUACCAAAACACCUUAUAAAACCUCAAUUGCAACAUAUAAGCAUCAUACAACAAUUUGGGCAGAAUUUCCUCAAGCCCUAGUUCAUCAUAUAAAAGGGGAAAACUUCCAACUUCAUCACACCCACUUGCAUAAUCAUGAAAUCAAGCCAAAACUUAAGCUAAAAACACAUCUUAAAGCAAGAUUCAAAGCAACAAAGAUCAUGAUCAAAUGUUGGUACCUCAAAAGCAAGGCUUGGUAGAGUAAUCCUUCACCCCCUUUGAUAUUUCUUGGUUCCUCAAACUUCCCAACUCACACUUAGUACUUUAAUCGGUUUAUUUCUUUUGUUUUCUCACUUUGUAGCUAGAAAUCAAGAGGUAGGAUGGUGUUUCUUCUUGCUCUCUCUCUCACUCUUUGGGUCGGC